UAAAGCAAGAGGGAAGAAGAGAAGAGAGAAGACAGUGGUUUCCUUUCUACUCUGCUGCAGCUCUGACUUUAAUUCAGCAGGUGCACGUGUCAGCGUGGUGUCCUCCCUUUACUCUGAAGGAAACCAUAAAGGAAAUGCAGGUGGGGUGGAUGAUACAGCUGUCUGUCAAUUGCUGCUAAUCCACUAGAGGCCAUUGUGACACAGAGUAAAGGGUGCUUGGCAGAGCACUGCACUCCAGUGCUGCUCAGCCUGUCCCCUUUGCUCAGCUCAGUGAUGACUCGAGUUUAUUUAGUGGCUAUUCAAGGAGCAGCUAAAGGCAGAAGUGAUUCCUCUGGAUGCUGGGAAAUUUCCUAUGUACUAUGGAGGAAAUUCUGCUGGGCAGGAGCAUUGACUUGUGUUAUUUGAAAUCUAGAAAUGCUCCUGACGAUUUCUUUUUCAUUUACAGUGUUUUUUUUAAAAGUGCCUGCCCAAGGAUUGUUGAGGAAAUACUGUGAUGGCAGCUGGAAGUCAACUAGUUUUCACUCUCUCACUCAUCUGUGAAAUAAGGUGAAGAAAAAGGGCCACAGUUUCAAAAGGACUUAAAAAACAUAGCAACAACACAUUCCAACACUUCCCUCUGAUUAUGGGAAAGCAUCCUGCCCUCCAAACCUAGGGAGCACUGUCUGAGUUCCUGAUGGGCAAAAAUAAACAGAGGGAAAAUGAGGAAUCUACUCUCAUGCAGAAGGCACCUCUCUGAUAGAGAUCUGUGCCCUGUAAAUAGAUGAAGCACUGCAGACUUGCACUCCAAGCAGAAAUGCACAUUAAGGACUUGAGUUCACUGCUGCAUGGAGAUCGAUGCUGAGCUGUGACAAGUCAUGGAUGUCACAUGGAGGAAGUGAGGAGCUGAUCCUGCAAAGCAAAGUCACUGAGACUUGAGGGUAUGUUGGUGAUAUUUCUCCUUCACUGAUAUGACUUCCCAGAGUUAUAGGGUGACUGGCUCUGUGGCAUUAAUCUGGUUGUUUACUCUUUAUCUUCACCCCAUGACCUAAGCCUGCUGAUGUGCACAGCCAUCUCAGAAGACCAGUGAUAUCUACUUAAAUGCUUAAAUUAAUUUAACAUCUGAAUCUCUAUUUAUUUUCAACAUAUGUUAAUUUUUUAAUAACUUAUGAUAAUACAAUUGUCCUUAUCUUUCUUUUUGUUGCCUUAUCUCUUUGUUACUAUCAUUAAUAACUUCUCAUUAUUGAUAAUGAGAGUCAUAUGAGUGACUGAAUUGCAAAAGGAUUCAUUUCACAUGCACCCCACAACCCUCUGUUAGUAUAGUCCCCCUUUUUCAGAGAUGCCCACAACAGUUCUGUUUUGCUUUUAACUUUUCCUGUCCAUAAGGAAGCCUUAUCCACUUCUUGGUGCAAUGGGCUAUAUUUGCAGCACAUCUUUAAUUCCAAGAACUCCAUUCUAUGUCUAGCCAAAACCCUAGGAGAGUCUCUAGCACAGCUGAACUCCUGGGAGCAAUAUUUUACUAACAGAAGGGCAUGUCAUACCUAGAGAGAAGAAUCUGACUUAUUGCACUGGAAGAUAAUUGUCUGCACCCCUAAAUGGCCUGUGAAGGCCUUGAAGAGGCAUCUUGCUAACUCAUGAAGGGCAGUUGCUAUUCUGUCAGCAUGUGAGAGCUCCAAAAUAAAAAUACCAGACAUAUGCUUUUCCAAUGUCCUCAGAACUUCAAGGGGUAAAAGCAUUCAUUUCCUUUCAUUCUGCAUCCAUCUGAUUGCUGUUAAACAUAGCAAGGAUCAAAUCUUUCCAGCACUGAUACCUAUGGCAAGCCUCCCUCUGACUUCCACAGACAGGGAUUUGGCUCUCCAGAAUGAGUGUCUGGGGAGGAUGCAUUGAAAUAAAUGGUAAUUGUCAAAGCACGUUGGAAUUUAGAGCACAUUUGUUGCAAAGAUAGAAGCUCGCUGGGGUAUCUGGUUGUCAGAGGCAAUUUUAUUUUCCUUACUGCACACAUGCACAUAUUUGAACCUUGUCAUGCUGCAAAGGGAAAUACCUCAUUAGAUUUCACUAGGGUUUCUUCAGAGUUGUUUAUAACUGCAGUCAAUAAAGAUAUUUUUGUUUAAUAAAUGAAAUACUGGAAAGGCUUGUUCUAUCAGGAAAUCGAAGGAAGUGCAUUUAUCCCUGGUAAAGAUGAAGCUCUAUUUUAUAGGGUGCAGAAAGCCUGCAAUGUGUAUUAUUUUUCAAAUAGUUGAAAGAUUUAUAGUGGUGAAUGGUUUCUGUAAAUGGUUUCUUUUUCAGUCUCAUAUUAACUGCAACAAAGCAAAUGUUACAAAUAAAAACAAGAGUAAACCAAGAGCAUGUCUACAUUCUGUAUUUUCAAUUAUGAUUUUAGCAGAAAUUAAUCACUUGUCCUUUUUUCAUUUGGAAACAGUUUUACUUCCCUUUUCCCCACUGGACAUAUAAUUUCGAUUUAUAAACACAGAAAUCUGGAGCAAAGGGAAGUUUUAAGCACUGUACAUAUUCCUGCUGAGGCCUAGAAUUAUUUUGCUUAGCAUUUUUAUCUUCCUUCUUUAUAUUUUCAGGUCAAUUUUAGCUUUCCACUUUGGAGAUGAAAAACAUGGUUGCAGAUGACAUUGUUUGCCCAUUUCAAAUUCACACAGGCCUAAGGUUACAUCUUGUAUGCAAGGCCCCUUUUUAUAAACAUGGUGACGGGUUCUUCCAGUCAAAAUGUGCUUUUAACUGGGAUAAACCUGUCUCCCCAUGUUAAGACUUAUAAAUCUUCUCCACAGGGCUAUUUACAAUCCAGCUACUGCAUGCUUACUUUAUUGACUCUGAAUGAAUAAAUCAGUU